CACAGAAGCUCAUCCCUGUGGCCUCUCUUCCUCUGAGGUACAGGGUGUUCUGUCUUGCAGCCUCCCCUCAACCCUGUCCCUGGGGGUUCUUGGACCUGGCUCUGGACCUGUGCUCCAGGAAUUACCUGAAACAUGGAAGAAUCUUAAAAAGAUUGACUUCACUGUAAAGCAUGAAGCGGUACCUCUACAGUCCAAAGAAGUGUUGGUUAUCAGAAGAAAAUGUGUACUUUUGGAGCGGCCUAAUUGACGAGUCCAGCAAUUUUCUGUGAAGUGUUGACAGCGAGCAGACCUUUGUUUGCAGAGAAAAGGAUGCGAUCCUCGGUACAUUGCAGAGGCCCGGCACUCACAGUCCCCUAUUAGCUUUGUGCAUUACUGACCUCCACAGGCAUUUCAGGGGAAGACACAGCAGGAAGAGACGAAGGUCAGUGCAGAAAGUGCUGCUGCUUUUGCAGUCUAAGGGUCAGUGAUAAAGAGUGCUGUCACGUUCCACUGUCACACUCCAUGUCACUGGCUCCACGUCACACCAUCUAUACUUCAAAACCCAAGUGAAGCUGUGAUCACAUCAGAGCUCUCUGGAUGUCACUGCAUCCAAAUCAAGAUACAAUUGUGUGCAUUAUUCUUCCUUAUUGGUUCACAUCAAGUUUGUCUGUGUGUAUGAAACCUAGAUUUGAAGAUGUGAUGAAAUGUGAGUAGAACCCCUUCCUGUC